rnacentral:rRNA from 1 species
UACGAAGGGGGCUAGCGUUGUUCGGAAUCACUGGGCGUAAAGCGCGUGUAGGCGGCCCGAUAAGUCCGCUGUGAAAGUCCAGGGCUCAACCCUGGAAUGCCCGGUGGAUACUGUCGGGCUCGAGUCCGGAAGAGGCGAGUCGGAAAUUCCUGGUGUAGCGGUGAAAUGACGCAGAUAUCAGGAGGAACACCGAUGGCGAAGGCAGCUCGCUGGGACGGUACUGACGCUGAGACGCGAAAGCGUGGGGAGCAAACAGG